UGCCCGAGCGUCAAAGCAGAAAAGGAGCGGUCCGCCCGCGAAUUAGAAACUAGCCCCCGAUCCCUUUUGGUUCACUUUCUUAUAAAUAAUGUUAGUCCACAAAAAAAAACCUUUAAGGCACAAGUGUCCGAAGGGCGGCAGAACUACAAAAGAACAAAAAAAUGUAUAAAAAACGAACUCCUACGACACAAGAACUGAAAAAAAAAACACAAACCAAGGGCUCUAAUUGAGUAUUAAAUUUUAUUGAUGAUCAUUACACUAGAGCGCCGACGAGGAGUCAGUCAAGAGACCAAAAAGUGUUAACAAGUCGAGGAAUUACGCAGAAAUCGCCGGAGAUGCGAACGAAACCAGUUUCCAAGGAGUGAUCCUGCUGUGAGAAACUACAAAGCAGAAAUCAAGUAAAAUUUGCCGCCGCAGAAUUCUGCAGGAGAGCCGGACCAAAAAUCAAAUAAGAAAGACAUUGAGGGAAAAAAGCAAAAGUAAAC
ensembl:ncRNA sisRNA:CR46360 stable intronic sequence RNA CR46360